GCCCCCAUAGCUCAAUGGAUAGAGCGGAUCCGUCCUAAGGAUACGAUGUGUGUUCGAUUCAUGCUGGGGGCA
rfam:Parcubacteria bacterium GW2011_GWC1_45_14 TW95_C0024, whole genome shotgun sequence.